UACGUAGGGGGCAAGCGUUGUCCGGAUUUAUUGGGCGUAAAGAGCGUGUAGGCGGCCAAGCAGGUCCGCUGUGAAAACUCGAGGCUCAACCUCGGAGACGUCGGUGGAAACCGUUUGGCUAGAGUCCGGAAGAGGAGAGUGGAAUUCCCGGUGUAGCGGUGAAAUGCGUAGAUAUCUGGAGGAACACCGGUGGCGAAGGCGGCAUCCUGGACCAACACUGACACUGAGGAGCGAAAGCCAGGGGAGCAAACGGG
rnacentral:rRNA from 1 species